rnacentral:lncRNA from 1 species
AGAAUGAAAGCAGGCAUUAAAAAUAAAAAACAUAAAUAAAAGUUAUAGCCUCACAAAUAAACAGUGUCACAUACGGCCGGUUGUACACAAAAAUAUGUUUUAGUUAUCAAGCAUAUGUUCCAUGCAUGCACGAACAUGCAAAAGUUUUGGAGUUCCCCUUCCCUACAUAACAUUUGAAGAUAGAGAAAUCUAAUAAGAAUUGAAUUAAGAUGAGUCACGUUUGAUUACAAAGAACCGAAUUAAUUAAGUUAAAAAGUUUGAUAUUAGAUUUAAUACGAAUUAUUUGGACGUGUAACAUUUGCUUUUAUUCAUCAUACAUCUCAAGCAUUCAAAUUGUUGAUAUGUUAGUUCUAGAGUUAGUACUUUUAAAAUCAUCAUGAUUCAUGUGGGUGUAUAGUAUUCUCAUUGAAAAUGUAUAAUUUGAUAUACGUGAUAUACAAUAUGCGGUUAAGAGUGAUAUCGUAAGUCACUCAAGUGCAAGUGUACAACUUAUGUUAUCAUAAUUUUAUCUAGCAGAUAUCAUAUUAUUGAGUCGAUAAGUACUAGCAUCAGAUGCAUUUAUACAUACGUGAACAACUGACACUAUUAUCAUAAGAUUAUCAUAAGAUUGAGACAAGGAGCAAUGAUAACGACUGGUACUAUAAUUAUUCUACCAUACAACAUACUAACAUGUCAUAUUAUUGAGAAUAGGAGUGUUGGCAUCACCUACUCGCGCGUAAACAACUAAAGCUAUCAUAAUUUUAUGUAAGAAUUAACUUCUUAGGAUUGAGGAUGAGUUCCUUCUCAAUAUACUUAAUAAUAGACUAACAGAAUUUUGUGCUCAUAAUCGAAAUAAUUUAUAUUAUAAAUCACUAUGUAAAGAUCAUUUAUGCAAAAAACUAAUAAAAUAUGAGAUCAUUUAGUCAUCGAACUAUAUAAAAGCAUAUAGACAAAUUUGGUAAAAGAAUUAUGAACUGUCUAUUCAUUUACUAUAGUUGAUUGAUAAAACGAUCCUAUUUUGAAUUGCUUUUGUCAAAAAUUAUCU